GUAUUCACUUUGGCAGCACAUAUAUUAAAACCGAAAUGAUGCAGAGUAGAUUAGCAUGGUCCCUGUGCAAGGAUGACAUGCAAAUUCGUGAAGCUUUCCACAUUUUU
ensembl:snRNA U6 U6 spliceosomal RNA